GACGAACGCUGGCGGCGUGCUUAACACAUGCAAGUCGAACGGAAAGGCCCUGCUUUUGUUGGUUUCUCGAUUGGCGAACGGGUGAGUAACACGCGAGUAACCUGCCCUUGACUUUGGGAUAACUUUAGGAAACUGGGGCUAAUACCGGGUAGGAUCUCCUGCUGCAUGGUGGGGGUUGGAAAGUUUCGGCGGUUGGGGAUGGACUCGCGGCUUAUCCGCUUGUUGGUAGGGUAGUGGCUUACCAAGGCUUUGACGGGUAGCCGGCCUGGGAGGGUGACCGGCCACCUUGGGACUAAGAUACGGCCCAGACUCCUACGGGAGGCAGCAGUGGGGAAUAUUACACAAUGGGCGGAAGCCUGAGGCAGCAACGCCGCGUGCGGGAUGACGGCCUUCGGGUUGUAAACCGAUUUGGCCUGAGACGAAGCGUGAGUGACGGUAAUGGGUAAAGAAGCAACGGCUAACUACGUG
rnacentral:rRNA from 1 species